GGGCCGUUAGCUCAGUCUGGUAGAGCUCCAGGCUUUUAACCUGGGAGUCAUGGGUUCAAAUCCUGUACGGCCCG
rnacentral:tRNA from 1 species